AUAUAUGUUAAAAUAAUAAAAAAAAAACAUAAUUAGAAAAGAAGGUGACGAAAAAGAAAUUAGAAAGGGAGAAAAUAGUUUGUCGAGUCUCUCUCAUGACAUCGACGAAACCGAAGGUGGAUCCAUGUCCGAUUGAGAGUUGCCGUCGGUCCCUUUCCCACUCCGGCAACAUCUCCUCCGUCACAGCCGUCGUUGAUUUCGACACCUCCUCGCCAAGUGCCAUCGUCCCUGUCGUGUAAACCCUAGGUCUGAUUUGUCUUCCUUUUAAAAUUGACGAAAUUGAAACUACAGUUCAUAUCUGGGGGAGUUCUGAGGAUUGGAAGUAUGCAUGUAGACAUAUAUUGAAAUAUCAUUCUGCAGAGGUGCGAGCUGUCACUGUCCAUGCAACGAAUAAAUACUUUGUGUCUGCAUCGCUUGACAGUUCGUGGUGCUUCUAUGAUAUGUCCUCCGGUUUAUGCUUUGCCCAGGUUCGCAAGAAGAUGGGUUUGUUCUUGUUGAUGUUUCAUCUUCAAGGUAUCAUGGAGAAAGGCUCUUCUACAAUUUGCAUCUUGAAAUGGGAAACAUAAAUAAUCACUAACUGACGUGCUAAGAGAUAUGCCAGAGAAUGUUAUACUUGUAUUAGGAAUGUGGAAACUCGUUUCGAUGAUAAUCUGUUCUUGUUUCUUUUAGUUAUGUCAUCCGUUUCUCAACAUCUAACAUUCAUGUAGUCGAGCUGUUUCGUUUAUUUUUCUUGAAGUCAGUGAUCGAUUAUCACAUUUACACGCUACUGAAUAUUGAUUGAUUGCUAUGAAAUUCAUGCUACCAAUGAAAACUUUUACUUUUAUCUA